CCACGUAAAUUUAUUACUGCAAAGCUUUCGAUCCGUAAGCCUGGAUCUUCAUCAGUGCUAUUAUUAUUAGCACAUAUCGAAAGCUUUGCAGUAAUAAAUUUACGUGGUGUUUCCA